rnacentral:misc_RNA from 1 species
UGGGGGUGGAGGGGACGAGGGAAUCAGCACGGCCAUGAGGGGUGAGGUGGAGGGAAACGGAGGAGUGGCAGAGGGAAUGGGAGAGGUAGGAGAGGUUGGGCCAGAGAGAGAGAGCAGGCCAGGGGGGGGUGGCGGUGGGGGUGAUACAGGGUUUGUUACAGGGUUUGUUUGGAGAGACGUAGUUUCGAAGGAAAUGAAGUGGGGUUGGAGGUGAAUGAAGGUGGUCUAUGGCUGUUGAUGAGGUUCCAAGACUUAACUCUCUCACCUCCUCCCAUAAGGAAUCUAUUUCUUUCAUGUUUUCUUCUUCUUCUUCUUCUUCUCUUCCUUCUUUAGCUGUCCGUAUCUUAAAC